CUCCUGUUGAAAAGAUGUCAGUUACUUCUAUGGUAGCAAUUUUGAUUUCAGCAGUAACAUAUAUUAUGAUUUAAACAUAGCACUGGAUUUUGGAUAAAAAAAUGUCCAGGUCAUUAUGUGGGAUUUAAUGCAUCAAGGCCAGCUUUGCUUAAGAUGUGUUCUGCAUAGAGCGCCAUGAAAGACGAGGAGAAGUACUCUACCGUACGCUAUUUUGGUUUCUAGUGCUUACUUUCCAUAGAGGAGAACUGACGCUUCGCAUGCAAAUUCCCGAUCAGAUGCAAGCUCAAACGCACAAAACGACCGAGAGAGCCGCUCCAUUGGAUUACAUUUUCUUUCUAAUGAAAAACCUGAAACCCAAACGACUCACGGCUUUCUCGUGUUGUAUGCAGAAUGUAGGUGGAUGUAAGCGAGGGAACAAGGCUGAUAAUCUUAGGUAUUUAGAUUAAGAUCUGUUGCGAGACAGAAACAUGGAAAGCAACACGGGAGAUGCUUCAACACGUCACCACCACCUAGCGGCAGAUUGGAUAUUGCAAAAAAAGAAUACACCAUUAUCGGAGGAUAUCAACAGAGCCCUUUGAUGUUGCCGUGGGAUGCCAUCAGCGGCCGGGAACGAGGGAUGGGGGAGAAAGGAGCGAGGGAUGAAAGAGGGCAAAGAUGCUUCACUGACCCAACCCACACUGCCGUGUCAACGCAAACAUUGAUGUAAUUUCCCCGAGCCUGGGUGGGAGCUGGGGAAGGACAUGAAGACAGGGAGCGAGCCAAGCGUCGCAGCCACAGCCACAGCCACAGCCACAGCCACAGCCACAGCACUCUCCUUCCCAUCCAUCUGUUCAUCUGUCCAUUUCAUCCCUCCCUCGCUGACCAUGUGUCCCUCGCUCCGCUCCUCAAACUCAGCCAAAGCACGCACGUCCAGUGACAAUAAACUUGGCACAACAUGGACCCCUUUCUUCGCCUUCUUUAGACUCUUCUUUUCUUUAGAGAAACAUGAUACUUUUUC
ensembl:lncRNA